AAUCAUCUAUUACCUUUUGGGUAAAUAUUUCUAUUAUGGUUAUAUUCUCUUGUGCUGGUCUUCUUGGAUCCUUUUCUUCUAUAAGAAAAUUGGUUCUAGAUGCCAAUAAAUUUAAGCUUUUUAGUAGCGACGUUGUUGAUUAACCUCUUUGUUUAGAUGGCAAAUGUAUACUAUUGUGCUUAGCCAUAUGUAUGAAAGUUGUUGAUAGUGAGGUUUCCGACCCCAACUAGCUUGGGAUUGAAGCGUAGUUGUUGUUUAUAUGUAUGGAAGUUGUAUAUCUAUCGAAUUGAGGGAAUAUGUAUUUCAACAAGUAGUUUUCUGGUCUCUACAUCAACAUGAUAUAUACCUGUUUGCUUAUACAUUUCAUCAGCUGGAAUUCUCUGUCAAAAUUGAGAAGAGGAUAUUAACAAAAUGUGAUAAUUAAUCCUUCUUUUAUUACUAAGUAUAUAUGGUGCAUUAUUUAUGUGACAUUAGAUCAUACAAUAAUAAUGCACUUAUGAAUUAUGAUGAAUACAAAGUAGCAGAUCUGGUGACAGGUACCCUUGGAAUUAGUAAAGGUGCGCGAGAAAAAGUUUUUUUUUUUGAGUACUUUGAGUAAAGUUAAACGAUGUCACAUACAUUGAGACGAGGAAGGAGUUGUUCAUACUUUUUAUCUAAGAUUAUGGAAGUGUCAUUAAUUGUGAUUUGUGACUGUAAUAUUAACCUGAGGUAAUCGUUAACCUAGGCAAAAUGAAGACUAGACUUGUUCAAGUUGAUUUUUAGAGUUUAAUUUCUUAUUAAUUGUUGUUAACUAUAGUAAUGAGUCAUUGUAAAUUAAUCAUUCAAAUCUUUUUUUGAUUGUUCUUAUAUAAGAUGGAAAAGAACAACAAAUAUAUUUUAUAUCAUUUUACUCUAAUAAGAUAUCUAAGUCAAAUUUCAUACUUCAUACUCAAAUUGGUUAGUUAUCAAAUUAAAAGAACAACAAAGUUAAAAUACUCUAUUAAUAUUAAUUCUUGAAGGAUUUGAAGCAUCAAUAUUCUUGCCAAUUGUAGAAAUUUUCCCAAAAUUUAUCAUUUUACUUCAAAGAAAAAGAUUCUCGACUCAAAAAUAACAAUUGCAACCCUUAAAAAAUCAUAUCAUAUAUCAUAUAUAUAUAUAUAAAAGAGAACCUUAGGCCCGCCUACGUGGCGCCAUCAAAAUCUAGGAUUCCCUUUUAAUUUAUUUAUUUCCAAAAUUAGUCUUCCCCUUUCAUGAAAAGUUGCGACUUUUAUGAAAAAUUGUGACUUUUUUUUUAAGAGUUGUGAUUUUUUUGAAGAGUUGUGACUUUUAUAAAGAGUUGCGAUUUUUAUAAAAAAUUGUGACUUUUAUGAAAGGUUGUGACCUUUUCGAAAGAGUUGUGACCUUUCUGAUAAGACACAAUAAAUAUUUGUUCAUAUUACCCUUUGUUAUUUAUAAAUAAAAAGAUUUCAUCUCAUUUUAAAACAAUGAAAAUUCUGAACUAUUUCUUCUUCUUCUUUUGCACAAUUAAAUAUUCGUGUACUUUGCUCCUGUUGAUUGACUCACUUCACCAUUGUUUUUUGUAUCAAUACACUGGUGAAUAGAAUCGUCAUAUCCUGAAAGGAUCUAUUCCUUUAACCCUCGGGUACUAGAGGAGAAUAAUUUUCUUAAGGGUAUACUAUGCAUUUAGUGGGCUCAAUUUUUUCCUUUCUGUUUCAUUCUAUUAUUAUAGAUCCUGAUAUUUUUUUUUACAGUCAUUAAUUUAUGUUUAUUUUAUUAAUUAUUGUACAUCUUUUAAACUUUGUUGUUUAUGUUUCUUCAAAGUUAUUGUUAAAAGUAUUUGUUAGUACAGAUUAAAUAACACACGUUAAUUGAGUAUUCAUGCAAGUUUUCUCUACUAAAAUUAUUGAAAGUAGAGUAAAAGAAUUCCUUAAAGAUUUGUACUACCAUAUCUUGAAGACAAAAUUCAAAUUUGGUAUGUCAUUGUAAACGCAUAAAGAUCUUAAAAACUUUAUCGCACCUUGAUGUGCGAAGUAAACCAGGAAAAGAAGAGAAAAAUUAAUAAACUUUUGACAUAAGUUCAAGGUUGUGCCGGAUGACCUAUAGAGGAAUAUGACUAGAUUGCAACAUCUUUUAAUCUCAAAGAAAUAGAUAACUAUACAAUAAAUUAAUUGCUCAUAUUCAAUAUGAAGUAUGGACAAAUUUUUUAAGUUUACUGCAAGUUGUAAAUAUUUUUCAUGAAAUAAUAGAUGUGUUUUCGAUACUGUGAUUGGAAUGAGAGUGUAGUUUCAUAUUGAACUUUAUCACUCUGGUAUGUUGAUUUUUAAAAAACACCCAAAUAAACUGAAUAAUUUUGUGUAAUAUUUUUCCCUUUCAAGUAUAUAUAAUAAGUUGAAUUGUUGUCCAAUAAUUUUUCCUUUUAAUUUUCAUUUUAAUAAUUACUUAUGGUACAUUUAAAUGGGAACUUUAAAAUGAUAUAUGUAAAACACAAGGUAGUGCUUAACUUUUAGAAUAUUUAAUAUUACCGGUUGAUACAUUUAAUUCAUCAAAAAUAUCGAAUAGUAACACUUCCCGGAAGCAAAAUGAUAAAUUAUAAAAUUAAAUUAAAGAUGAUUGAUUGAAGGAUAAAUGAUAAGAUGCUAUAAUUAUUACUUCCUUUGUAGUAUUUUACUUUAAAUGACUAAUAGGUUAUAGGUAUUAUUUUAUAAAUUCCGAACAUUAAAUUUUCGCGUGAGGCACGGGUAAAUUUACUAGUGUAUAUAUAAAAAAAUGUUUUAGUGGCAACAUUUGUUGCUGCUAAUUCUUGUAAUAGUCGCCAAAAGUAGUUUUUGUGGCAACAUAAAUCGCUGCUAAUGCUUAUAAUAGUCGCCACUAAAAGAAUGUUUUAGUGGCAACAUUAGUCGCUGCUAAAACUAUAAUAGUCGCCACUAAAAGUAUGUUUUUAGUAGCAACAAUAGUCGUUGCUAAAAGUAUGUUUUAGUAGCAACAUUAGUCGUUGCUAAAUGCCUAAAAUAGUCGCUGCUAAAAGUAUGUUUUAGUAUCAACAUUAGUCGCUGCUAAAACUUUAAUAGUCGCCGCUAAAAGUAUGUUUUAGUUGCAACAACAAUUGCUGCUAUAACCUAUAAUAGUCGCCACCAAAAGUAUGUUUUAGUAGCAACAAUAGUCGCUGCUAAUGCCUAUAAUAGUCGCCACCAAAAGAAUGUUUUAGUAGCAGCAAUAGUCGCUGCUAAUGCCUAUAAUAGUCGCCACUAAAAGUAUGUUUUAGUAGCAACAUUAGUCGCUGCUAAAACUUAUAAUUGUCGCUGCUAAAAGUAUGUUUUUGUAGCAACAAUAGUCGCUGCUAAAAGUGUGUUUUUGUAGCAACAUUAGUUGCCGCUAAAACUUAUAAUUGUCGCCACUAAAAGUUUGUUUUAGUAGCAACAGUAGUCGCUGCUAAAAGUUUGUUUUAGUAGCAACAUUAAUCGCUGCUAAUGCCUAUAAUAGUAGCAUGUUUUAAAUACGUAUAAUAGUCGUCACUUAAAGAAUGUUUUAGUGGCAAUAGUAGUCAUUGCCAAUGCCUAUAAUAGUCGCUACUAAAAGUAUGUUUUUGUAGCAACAUUAGUCGCUGCUAAUACGGAUAAUAGUCGCCAGUAAUAGUUUGUUUUAGUGACAAGAUCCCACUUUCGUCCUUUUAAUGUUUUUCUUUUUUUCCUUCUCAUUCAACACUUUUAAAUACAUUUUGUGUGAGUUAUUACUAUUUUCGGUUAGCUUAAUUUAAAGAAUAUGAAACAAAAUCUGUUCUAAAUAAAAAUAAUAUCUUAAGCUACAAAAGAUAUGUCUAUUAACAUAGAUUUGUUGUCCUUUAUGUCCCAAGUUAUUGUUGAGCAUUUGAGUUAUUUAGAUUAGACUCAUUUUUAAUUUUUUAAUGUUCGAGAAUAUUUCUUUAACAUGAGUCUAGAAUCCAACAAUUUGAUCUACAUGUACUUUCAUGAUGCAACAAUUGUACAUACAUAUUUUUUAAAAAGUCGUAAAGUUGCAUUGAUGAAACAUCUAGAAGGACCUUCAAAGCAGCAGUUUAAUAAAAAAUGAACUUCUAAAAAGGUUAACAAUAUUAUUUUGUUGUUGUUUCAAAUUAUUUUUUCUCCUUCUAUAAAUUUUGUUAGAGUAACAAUAACGAAAAGUAGUGAACGUUUGACCUCAGACAAGUAGAUUGUCUCUAAAAAAAAAUUAUUUAUGUUGUUGUGGUGUACAUUUUUAACGAUCUUAACUUAUUUAUAACUAAUAUUGAUUAUCGAAAACUUUUACAUAAUUUUUUUUCACAAGAAUUUAUUCUAAAAAUUAUCAAAUUCUAUAUUUUUUAGGUACAAAAAAAAUAGAAAAAAUUAUGUUUAAUCGCUACAUAAAAACAUCACUCAGUUUUAACAAAACAAUUAUAUCAUCAAACAUAUAUUAUGAUAAAUUAUGUAAAAGAUAAAAAUGAUUAGAUCUCAAGAUAUUUUUAAUCAUUCAAUAUAUAUUUACAAUUUUUUAGAUAUGUGAUAAUGUCAAAUUAUUUAAUUUCUGUUGAAAUGUUUUUAAAACCUACUAAAUUUAUUUUUUCUUAUAACAGUCGAUUAUUGAAAAAGUUAUUCAAAUUACCUAGUUUAAAGAUAUGAAAAUAAAACAUUUUAAAAAAUAUUCUAUAUCUAUGUGAAUGAAAAAUAACAUAUUUAAUGAAAUAGUCGAAAUGCGUAUAAACUAAUUCGAUUACUAUGUACUACUAUUAUGUAUAAAAAGAAAAUAAAUUGCACACAGUCAAUGAAGGUGGGGAUGUGACUUUUUGGCAUGGUAUCAAAUGGAUUAAAUUAUUAAUUAAAGCAAGACAAAUAUGCAUUUUUAAAGAGGACCACGUUUUAUUUAAUCAAAAAAAAAAUUGUCACAAUGUUUUUGGAUUAUAUUAAUCAGUCAAAGAAGUGUAUUUUUAACUUCCAAAGCAAGCAAAGAAAAUUGGUCUGUUCCCCAAAUUUUGCAAAUAGUUUGUUUGGUAAUAAAAUCCAAUUUUAUGCUCACGUCGUGCAUUAUUUUAUUUUAUGAAUCGUCAAAUCCACUUGUAUAAUGUGAAUUAGUCUGCAAUAUGCUUAAUUAUUUAUCAGUGAUUUGUUUUAUUUGACAAAUCAUAAACUCAAUUUAUUAAAUUAAAUCAACGAGUCAUAUAAUAUUUUAAUAAAAUCAGUGAAUGAGUGAAGAAAAAAAAACUUCUUAAUAUGAAACCACAAGGGGUCGUUCGGUAGCUGGAUAAAAUCCAAGUUGUUCAUGUAUUAUUUCUCAUAUAGCUUAUGAGACGUUUGGUACAUAAAUAGAGAGAACAUAAGUUAUUCACUUAUAAAAUUAAUAUAACGUUUAGAAUUUUGCAUGAUUAAUGCACAUGUAUAAGUUAUGAGGGAAUUUAUAUAUUAUUUUACGCAGACUAAAAGAUGAAAUAACUAAUACAUGAAUAAUUAAACCUUGCAUAACUAAUAUGCAUAAAAUAAUACAUAAAUCCACUCUACAUUACUAAUAUCCGCAUAACUCUAAUUUGCUACCAAACGACCUCUCAGUGGCAUCUGACAUUAUAUUUGCCCUAGAAUUAGGAUGGAUGAUUGGUAUCUUUUCAUUUUUAAUCAAGAUAUCUCGAGUUCAAUUUAUUUAUUUAUUUUGUUAAAACAUAAAAGCGUCGUCUUCAAAAAUGGGUCUGAUGCUUUCAAUAAGAUGCUCUUCAUAAGAGAAUGCUCCAAUAUGUCAUCUAGCUUCUAAAAAAAGUAUUGGAUUUACUUUUGUUUUUAUAUGCCUGAUUGGGGCCUUACUAGAUAUUAGACAAAUUCCAGGUCAUCAUCAUUUUAUUCUUUAUCUAAGAUAUUUUAUUUCAUUUAAGUGAAAAAGAACAAUAAAAAAUUGGAAUUAUUCAAUUCAUUGAAUUUAGGUAUAUAAAUGAAAGGAUAUAAAGAAUAUAAAGUUGCAUGGACUAUAUAUUGUUUUUAUUGAAUUUGUAAUUAGGAUUGGACCACUUUAAAUUAAUAUUAAAGAGAUAAAACUAUGACACACCAAUUUUUAACCCAACAAUUAAUAUCAAAAUUAAUGCUUAAUUUAGCAAGACAAAUAUAAAUAUUAUCGAGUAUUAUCAUAAUGGAUCGAUUUACUAUCUUCACCUAUAGUUAUAAAGAUGCACAAACAAAAAAAAGCCUAUGAAUAAAGUGGUCGUAAAUACUCAAAUAAUGUGAAUGACAAAUAACUAAUCUCUAAUUUAGUUAAUGUAAGGUAAUAUAGAUUAUGCGCAGAACUAAUUUAAGGGAGAUAUUAUCGAUUGCAUGUGAAUAAAGUUCUAUAUGAAAAGUAGAAUAGAAAAAUAAACUACUUAUAAGUACAUGCGAUACGUUUUAAAGUAAGAAAACCUCUAUGAAUUUGAUCAAAACAAAUAACAUCAUGUCACAUUCUAUUAAGAUAAUAAUAAUAAUAUACCAAAUACAAUUUUAUAAACGAUUCUAAAACAUAAAAUAUAUGUAAACAUUACCUCAUGGAGCAUAAAGGUAUUAUAGUAAACAUAAAUGACAAAACUAUUGUUGGUAUUAAUCACUAGUGACCCACGUUAAUUGACUAUAGUCUCAAUCAUCAUAUUAAUUAUUAAUUAUUAUAAUAUAAGGUUAUCUUCUCAUUAAAUUAUUAUUUUUCUCGAUAUCAAUGUUCAACCAUAUUAUUUUAUACUUUUGUUUCCUUCUACGUGUACGUGUGAGAAUAAGCUUACAGAUCUACCAAAUCGUAGAAAAAAUGGUAGAGGAAAAAGAAAAAUAAAUGACAUUAUUAAUAUUUGUGUACACACUUGUCAAAUAUAUAUAAAAAUAAAUUACAAUUUCCAAAGUUAUUUAUAAUUAGAAACGAUCUUUGACAAAGUAAUAGGUUCCAGUCAAAAUUAUAUCCAUACAUUCAGUAAAUGUACUAUAUAUCUUUCUUGUACUAAUUAAAUAAUCAUAAAAUAUGCUACAUAAUUAUUAUUUUUUAUAUAUAUAUAAAGCUUCAACAUAUAGUAAAGAAAAGGCUCUUGAAGAAGAAGGAAGCUGACGAUUGAAACAUGUAAAAGGAAUAGGUAGCUUGAGGAGCAGUGUUGGAAACUCGUCAGGCAGCUUCAUUGGACCUGUUCCUUUAACAUAUUUCAAUCGUCAGUUUUCUUCUUCUUCAACACUAUAAUACUAAUUAAUAUAAGUAGUCUAAUCCUAGUGCGACUCUAAUUCUAGAGCAGUGCUGGAAACUCGUCAGGCAGCUUCAUUGGACUUGUUCCUUUGACAUGUUCCAAUCGUCAACUUCCUUCUUCUUCAACACUUCCCCUCAAGCUACUUGUUCCUUUGACACGUUCCAAUCGUUAGCUUCCUUUUUCUUCAACAAAGGCAAAUGCAUGUUUUUAGAGGACCAGUUUUUUUCUAAAAGUAAAGUUGUCUCACGCGAUAUUCAAUAUUCUGUCCGUUUCAUAUUAAUUGUCCUAUCUUUUUUAAAAUUAAUUUGAUUAAUUUUUAAAAUUAAAUUAAAUUAUUUAAUAUUUUAAAUUUAUAAUUUAUUAGCUGUUAAAAUUAUAAACAAAAUACUAUAAAUUACACUUUUCUCAUAUCAAUAUGAGAAAGUAUUUUAAUGUAUUAAUUAAAAUUCAUGUAAUUUGAGUCUCAAAAUAAAAAUACCUAACAAAUAAUUUGAAAUAAAGAGAAUAGUAGUAUAUACUGAUAAUAGUUGUGGUGUAGUAAAAGGUAAUCUUUCAUUAUUUAACUUUUAACAAAGAUCUUGAGUUUAAAUUUUAAAAAUAUAUUUUUCCUUUUUAGUGAUAAGUGAUAAACAUAUUAAUCAAAUUAAUAAAUUUUAAAUUUAUAAAGUAUAUAUAUCCGACCCCGUGAAAAAUUGACUUUUUUUUUCUUAUAUAGCCAAAUCACUCAUCAAUCCUCAUAAAUGCUCCUUCAACCAUAUGAAACUCUAAAAUCUUAUCAAGGUAAGUUGGUUGAAAUUUCUUUAUUCUUUCAUAUAUUUUUUAAAUUUGAGUUUGGAUAUGAAAAAAAAGUUGUUGGACCGCUCAAAAGUUGGUCUUGCAAUGUGUGAAUUUGAAUUAGUCGAACUUCAAUAUGAAUAACGAAUAUUUAAAAAAAAUUGUGAUCUUCUUUCAUCCUCAAACUCAUUGGUUCGAUUUGGUUAUUGAUAUAUAACCAAUUAGAUUUCACACACACAAGAAAAUCACUUAAAAACAAGGUGACAAAUCAAAUAAAUCAUGCAUAGACAAAUUACAUCUUGUAUAAUAACCAAGAGUUUGAAACAAUCGAAAAUGAAAGUAUGAAACUAAACUCUGACUUUAUAUACCGAAUGGGAUAAAUAUAAUAUAUUAAUUUACUAUUGGUUAAUUUGUUAAGAAAAAAUAUCAACCCGUUAAAAAUCAAUAACCCAAUAAAAAACUAAAAUUCAAAAUCGCUAAAUCAAUAACUCAUAACUCAUAAACCAAUACUCCCUCUGCCCUAAUUUAGGUGACGCAUUUUAGAUUUUGAGAUUAUCGUAAAUUUUUCAUACAUCUUUUAAAUUCUUUGAAUUGUCAAUUAUUGUGACUUAUAAUAUUUUUUUACGUAGUUUACAAAUAUAUAAAUUUCAUUUUAAAAAUUAAAAAUUUCAUGAGUAAAAUCUCGAUUAAACUUAAAUCAUUUGAUUCUCGAAAAUAAAGUAUAUCACGUAAACUGAGACAGACGAGUAACAUUUUUUGGUUUGAAUAUUAAUUUUGAUUCGAUUUUGAANNNNNNNNNNNNNNNNNNNNNNNNNNNNNNNNNNNNNNNNNNNNNNNNNNNNNNNNNNNNNNNNNNNNNNNNNNNNNNNNNNNNNNNNNNNNNNNNNNNNNNNNNNNNNNNNNNNNNNNNNNNNNNNNNNNNNNNNNNNNNNNNNNNNNNNNNNNNNNNNNNNNNNNNNNNNNNNNNNNNNNNNNNNNNNNNNNNNNNNNNNNNNNNNNNNNNNNNNNNNNNNNNNNUCUCUCCCCCCACCCCCCCCCCCCCCCCCCCCAACCCAAAAUAACCCCUACCCCAAUAGUCACAGCGAACACGUUAAAAUCUCACUCGCCACAAGAUAAAACGAACUUUCCUCUCAACUCCACAAACACACCUUUCAUAUGAUUUAUCAGUAUAUAAACCCCAAAAUCUCCGUCAAUUAAUUCUCCACUAUCCUUUCAUAACAGCAAUGACGAAAACUCCAGAGAAAAUCUCACCGCAAAAAAUGGCUGCCGGCGCAGCAAACAAACCUCCCAUAUGGGAUUGUGGAAGUUCACUCUACGACUCAUUCGAGUUGAAAUCAUUCGAACGUCAACUCGAUUCAGCCAUAUCUUCUCGAAGCCUCUCAAUGCCUCAUUUACCCGAUCGCCGUGUUCUUAUUCCACCUUCAACAACAGAUCCACCACAAACUACUCAACCGAUUUCCAAAAAAACUAAUAGAAUCUCUAGAUCUUUCCAGAAACUUCUCAAAUCCAUUUUCAGAGCAAAACAGAGCAACAGUCCGCUUUUUCAGGGGCAAAAUCGAGAUGGAUUUUACGUCGUUUAUGAUAAAUCUGGUGCACUUACGACGAUUCCAGAAGGACCGGAGUACGACGGACUUUCGCCGGAGAUUAAGUCGUUGGUUAGAAGAACAGGUUCCGAACGGUUCACGGCGACUUCCAUUGGUAUUUCAUGUGCUUGAUAUAUAAUAUAGAUCUUAAUCUAAGCAAUUAGAAUAUAAUGACUAAUAUGUAUAGCAAUAAUUUCUUUCAUCUUUUGGAAUAUUGUUGUUGCUAGUUUUUGAACUCAAAAAUUUGAAGUUUUCAUGGCCUACAACGUAUAAUAUGUGACAUUAUUCCAAAACUUUUGGUUCUGAGUUAUUGUUCAAUAUCUCUUUAUCAUGAUUCAUACUGAAAAAUCCCUCCGCAAAUAAUUUGAGACGAAAGGAAUAUAAUGCGUGUUUUGCAUAUUUAUCGAGUAAUGUUUGUAUACUCAAACUUAUAAUUGUUGCAAUUGAGAUAUGUUUACCAUCUGAGCAACUCGUAAAUUAUCUUUGGUUAAUGAUGCGGUAGCCUUAAUGACAGCAAGGUGGAUUAGUUAACUCCCGCCUUAAUUCACGUAAAAAGUAGCGCGCGAAUAGUGCAAAGUAUUCUAUAUUUAUUGGUAUUUAAUUAUGAAAUCUACGUCUUUAUGACUUAAAAAUCAUUAAUAUCUCAAUUAAUUUAUCAGUUGAGGAAAUUCCUCGAACAUGUAGUAUUCAUGUUAUGAGCCUGAUAAGUUUAUCGAUUUAUAUGUAAGGAUGGUUGAAUUUAUUGAGCAGUAGGUAGUUUUCACGUUGUGAGCUUGAUAAGUUUAUCGAUUUAUUUGCAAGGAUGAUUGAGUUAGUUUAUCGAUUAUCUUUAGAUUAUGAGCUUGAUAUAUAAAUAUGAAAUCAAUCAAAGAGGAUUACAUUAGAUCAGAGAGUAAAUUUAAGACUAUAAUACAUUUGUGUUGAUUUUAACUUAUUUUCGACGUGAUUGAUUUCUUUCUUCCUCUUCGAUUAAUUUGAAUAUACGUGAAAACAUGUUCUAUCAAGAUUUUCUUUUCAUGUACAGAAUUCGAGACCUCUAAUUAAGAAAAUAGCAAUCUCAGUCGUUGCACCAUAGUGAUUUGAUUUCUUUGCAUCACGGGUGAAGGUACCUAAAAGUUGACUUCCAACUAUUAAGACUUAACUCUACGUUAGAGGUGGAGAAAUGGAGUAUUUUAGUAAAAAUUGACAGCAAAUAAAUGACCCAUCUAUAAGUGACCUAAAUUUGACAACUAAUCAAGCACUUCCUUUGCAUUUCUUGGGAAAUAUAUGGGUAGAUUCCUUACCAUUUAUAUGCUUGAUCGGUUAGUAAAAAAUAUUUUUGAAAAAAUGUAUAUUAAAAGUUAAUAAUAUAUUGAUGGAAUCAAGUAAUAUGAAGUAAAAAAUCGAGAAAAUUAAAAAAAAAUAACUUUCGCUUAUACGUAAGAAGUCAUUAUAUCCCCUUUAAUAGAAUAUUUACCUGAUAACUAAACAUCAGAAAAUAACUUUCUCCAAAAAAUAACAAUAAUGAUUUUCGUAUAACCCAACAUACCAUUUAUGUUAAGAUUAUAUUGGAUGAGAUUAUAAUUUAUUUAGAACUAUAUAUAUAAAACAAAUGCAUGCUAGAAGAUUGCUAAUUUAUCUAGCUACCAUAAAAAAGAUUUAUUGGCAUCUUGUGGUGGUUGAAUUAAAGACACAUUAUAAUCAAAGUUUUGUCUAUAUUUGUGGAGACCGCUAAAAGACUACGAAAGAGAAUAUUAAUGAAUUGUACCAUUAUCUUCAAUUCUUAUCCAUGUUUUUUUUUUUUGGAACUUAGUAAUACUAUGUACUACUAUAUAUUGACUUGUUCUUGAAAAAAUUAUAACAAAAAAUAAUUUAAUUAAUCUUGAUCAACUUUCAAAACCAAGUUAUAACUUUACUAGAGCUACAUGUAAUUAAAUUUCCUUCAUCAAAAAAAUCAUACUAUAAGAUAAAAAUUCAUGACUUUACCACUACCUAUAAUUAGCUAGCUAGGUACGUAUCAAAUUGAAUAAAUUAAUUCUUAAUCUGUCUUUCCUACUCUUUUUUCCGGUUCAUAAGCAAAUCGAAUCAUAUCGAACCAAUUAAUCCUUAAUCUGGGAUCAAAUUUAGUAAUUAGGUGAUACAAAUUAAAGUUGCUAUGAUAAAAAUUAAAAGAUGUUCACGGAUGAAGCAUGAAUAUAAUUAAUGAAUUUUGGUUUAAUUAAUUAGGAAAGAUGAUUAAUUACUAUAGUUAUAUAUAUACUCGUGAGGUUGGUGGCAAAGCAUUUAUAUACUUUACAGCAUUACAUACAUUUAAUUAUUUUGCAGAAGGAAGCAUUUAAUUGGGCAAUUGACACUAGAGUUUCUAUCAAACUUCAUGUCAAUCUAGUAGUACAACUAGUAAAGAUUAAAAACAAUGAAUUUAAUGCACACUGUGUCAUACAUGUGUGGCCCAAAUUCAAUUUUUGAAAUGUCUCGACGUGUUGUUGUUCUAAUUUAGGUCACUAUUUCGAGCGCGUAUUAUCCAGUGUUUUAAAAAAUGGGGGCGUGAAGCGAGACAUUUUAUACAGUAUGGGCGAGACGUAAGUCUCGAGAUACGGGACGUAAGUCCCAUAGAUCCAUGGGGCGUAGUCUCAUGUAUAUUCAAUUUUAUAGUUUUAUUACUAAUAAAAUAAGCAAAAGUAAACAUUUCAAUGAUUUUACAAAUAAUUUUUUAUAAAUAACCUAUAAUAUAUAGAAAUUAUAUUAUAAUUUUUAUUUGAGAUAAGUGUUAAUAAUCAAUAAUGAAGGGAAAAAAUCAUUAUAAUUACUAUUUGAGAAAUAUCAUUACACCAAUAAUUAAAAAUAUAUGGUUUAAAGCAAAAAAAGGUUAAGAAAAUAAAUUAAAAACGUCUGGGCCUACGUUUUUACGCCCAGGACUUACGUUUUAAUGCUCAAGGCUUACGCCUCAAAUUUUAGAACUUACGUCUUAUGUAUCUACGUCUUAAAUUUACUCCCCGAAACGUUUUUGGUAGGCCCCACCCGAGACUCGCCCCAAAAACAUUUUUGAAAACACUACUAUUAUCUAUCUUUUUAGAUUUUGUGUACAUCUUCAGAAAGUCAUUUAAUAUAGUCGAGAGACAUUAUGCAUGAUCGACCACAAAAAACUGAUGUUUUGACGUUUUCUUGAAUUAGACAAGUCAUGACUAUAUGACCAACUUAAUAAGUAGAGGGAAAACGAAAGAGAGAUGUGCUUAUAACUAGGGGUGUACAUAGGUCGGUUUGGUUUGGUUUUUCAUUAAAAAAAACCUAAAUCAAUUGUAUCGAUUUGAUAAAUCUACAAACCAAAUCAAAUCACGCAAAGUCGGUUUUUUCAGUUUCGGUUUGACUUUUUUUCUUUUAAUACCAAACCAAACCAAGAGUGGUCGGUUUUUUUUUCAACCGCCAAACCAACCAAACGAAACCACAAAUCGAUUUUUUUUUUUGAUCUGACUUUACAAUUUGACUUGUACACCCGUUAUAACCACGAUCUUUACAAAGUAACCACUACAUAAGUUGCGGGCGGAAAAAAGUUAGGAAGAAUUUCCCUUCAUUUAUAUUUCUUGAUAGACUAUAACUUCAAGAGUAUCUUUCAUAAACAUCAUGUCAAUCUAAUAGUACUCGUAGUAAAAGGCUAAUGAAUUAAAUGCAAGAUGUCAUAUAUGUGUGACCCAAAUUCAUUUGAAAUUUUUCGACUGUUAUUAUUUUAAGUUAGGUUAUUAUAUAUUAUCUACCUUUCAAGAUUUUAUAUGUCACAUCCAAAAAAUUAUUUAAUAAUCGAAAGGUAUUAUGAUCGACUAUAUAAAACUAGUGUUUUGUUAUUACAUUGAACUUAACCAUUAAUAUAAAAUGUCUAUGAUGAUUUUCGACUUAAUAAUAAAGGAAAGACAGAAGAGAAGCUUAACAAUUUUUUUAUUAGGUAAUCACUUCCUAACCUAUUGUCAGGAAAAAAAUCGAAGAACUUCCCUUCAUUCAUUACUUACUAAACUAGAAAGUCUUACGAGUAUCUUUCAAAUUUCAUGUGAAUGUAGGGUAUAUAGUACAUAGAAGUAAAUAUACAAAGGAUGGAUCAAUUAAUUUAAUGUAGGGAACCAUACAUGUGUGGCCCAUAUUUAUUUUUUGAAAAAUGUUAGGACAUGUUUAAAAUUAGGGUUUUCUCUUUUAGAGAUAUAAUAUUUGUCUUCUAAAAAUUUAUUUGCACUUGGAAAGAAAUAUUUAAUAGGAGUAGUUGGGAGGCAUUAUGGGUUGACUAAAAAAAAAGAUGUUUCGACGUUUUAUAGAAUUGAAUAAAUCUAUUAUAAAAUUUUGAUAUUUACUUUUCAUUUAUUUGGGGAAGAUGAAGGAAAGCGAUGCUUAGCGAGUCUUUAAUAGGGCAAUUAUAUUAUUAUUAUUAGCAAAAAAGUUCAAACAAUUUUCCUUCAUUCAUAAUUCUCAUGUCUUCGAGUCCAUCCAUAUACACUUUCUUCUUAAACGCCUCAUUUAAUUAAUAUAUUAGCAAUAACUGAAUAAUAAGAAAUAUUUGUAAAAAGUAAUAAAUAACUUCUUAUUAGUCUAAAAAAUCAAAUAUUUAAACACAAAUUUAGUUAGCUAACAUGACAGCAUAUAUUCUUUUGUAUACAAUUGUUCUUAAUAUAUACAUAUAUGUAUCGAACAUCGAAUAAAAAAGUCACAGUAAAAGAGAUGUCCACCCUCUCAUUUACGGUCUAGCAGUACACAUUAAUAAGCUUUAAGUCAAACUUACCGCCCAUUCCUUUAUUUAUUUCUACAAAUUAACUUGUGAUUGUGGACAUGAAGAUGUGGACUAUUCACUAAUCUUUGAAAAGACACCCCUUUUACAAGGGAAACCAUACAUGGAGGUAGGUUUGCCAAUUUAACUUUCUUCAAGUCUUUUACAACAUAAAUGAUAAUAAUGAAAAUGAUAUUCACAUUAUUAUUUAUGAAGAAGUGACCUUUUAUAGUUGUUAUGAAGUCGAGAUUUUUGUAAGAAGAAGUCGAAAUAUAUAGAAGUAAUGAAGAAUUUAGGAGAAUUCAAGAUAGAAUAUAUAGCUAAAUUUUCUAUUUGACGAUAUCGUUUUUCUGCAUACUUGUUAAUUGUUAUUAUAAAAUAUCAUUAUAGAGUAUGACUGAUAUUAUAUCUGUUUGUGUAUAUAAAAAUCACUUUUCGAUAUAUAGUGUAAAUUUUUAAUGAAAGAAUAUCAAUUGAUACCUCUUGAAUAAGGGUGACUAUGUCACUGUCUAUGACCACUCACAAUAUGAAAAAUUGAAUGUAAAAAGAUUAGGAAAACUUGCCAAUAUGUAUGGUCCGACAAACUUGUUUAACAAUAUGAUCGAAAUAUAUAAAAUAUAUACACUAAUUAUGUAUUAUUAUAUGUAUAUAUCAUAGUAUAGUAUAUGAAUACUAUACUUCAAUAUACAAAAUCUAUACACUAAGACGUUUCGUUUCCAUUUUUUUGGUUAAAAGCAUCGCAUAGUAUAGUGAUAGUGCCCAAUCCGCAGCUGCGGAGUCCGCCUUCCCUUGAAAACAUUUGUUGACUAUCAUGUUUCUCUCUGGGGCGAUUUGGUCUGAUCAGAGUCAACUGACUCACAUGGAAUACAUGAUUCAUUUUCACUAAGUCGGUUGCUUGAGUCUAUAGACUACCUUUCCUAUCUGCUUUUCUAUGAGGUCUACGUCAAACCGGGUCAAACCUUUAGAUUGUUUAAGUAGGUUUGCGCUCCUACCACCUCUUGGUAAAGUAGGCUCUCUUGUGUUAUUUUCUUAAAUAACACUUACUUUUUUAAUGACUCGAACCCACAAUCUCAAUAUUGAAGAUGAAGUUGCUCACCAUACGAAUCCAAAAAAUAUGUGUAUAAAUGUUUAAUAAAAGAAGAAGAAGAAGAAGGUGGUUUAUGUAAUACUUGAAACUACAGGGUAGGUUUAUGUAAUUAAAAAAAAGUUAAAGAAGCAACAACGUCGAGAGCCAAAAACCCUAGAAGAGAAAAGGGGUUUUAGAACCAGCAAAAUCUGCAGAAGAUUUGUACAUUGGGUGAAGAAGGAAGAAUGGAUAAAGCCAUUAUUAAGCUUGACGAAGGUACAACAUGCACUGCGUGGAAUUAUUCGGGUCACAGAUUAGCUGCUGGUUCAACUGAUGGUACUUUGUCCCUUUUUGAUUCUACUGACCCGGCUUCAUCUGUUUUCAAUUGUUCUUCUAAAUUCAAGGUUAGAAAAAACUCAAUUUUCAUAUGAAUUUGCUUUAACUCUCAUUUUGAAGUCAUAUGGAUUUGAAGUUUUUUUUUUUUUUUUUUGUGUGUUGGAAAGUACAAUUUUUGGAUAUAGAUUGAUGUAGUAGCAAUGUACAUCCAAAGAGUCGAAUAGAUUAUUUAUACAUAUAGGAAUUAAGUAUGCAUCAAUCCGAGGUUGGGUAUAUGGGAUAGUGAGGAUCAUUGUCCUUGUGGUCGAUAAAGUCGGGUAGAACAUGAGGUCUCAGGUUCAAAUCCCAGGAUUUGGUGAGCAAAGUUACCAGGUACGUGUUCCAUAAAUUUUUUUUUUUUUUUUUUUGUGUGUUGGAAAGUACAAUUUUUGGAUAUAGAUUGAUGUAGUAGCAAUGUACAUCCAAAGAGUCGAAUAGAUUAUUUAUACAUAUAGGAAUUAAGUAUGCAUCAAUCCGAGGUUGGGUAUAUGGGAUAGUGAGGAUCAUUGUCCUUGUGGUCGAUAAAGUCGGGUAGAACAUGAGGUCUCAGGUUCAAAUCCCAGGAUUUGGUGAGCAAAGUUACCAGGUACAUGUGUUGGUGGGAGAUAGAGGUAUUUGGUGGAAAUAGUAAGAAUUGUGCUCAAACUAGCUCAGGCACCACCUCAUAAAAAAAGAUGGGAUAGUGAGGAUUAUAUUCCCAAACAAAAAAAGGGAACAUUUGACUCUUGAUAUCAGACUUUGGAGUCCAUACAAAAAUCUCCUAUUUGAAUAGAAGCCAAUAAAAUGUAAAACGGGGCAGAAGUUUACAUUUUUUUCCCAUGUGAAGUCAUAUGUAAUAAGAGAGAUUCACGUCCUCCUCGUGCUUCUUGUAUAGGCAACAGGUACCAUAAGUAUAUGUUACUAAGGUUUCAGUGGCAGAAAAAACUGGACAAGUAGUAUUGUCGAACUACGGUCCAGAAAGCUUGCAAGUAUUAAUGGUCUGUAUGGCAAAAGGUUGAACUUUCGAAUAACUAUUUAGAAGCAGAAUACAUAACUAAUCCAAAUCAGUUAAACUUGAUUCCUUGUUUUUUCUUUCAGUUAGCCAUUUUUAUUGGGACCCUCUUUUGCUCUAAUGUUAUCUAAGGAUUGAGUAUGAAACUGAAGAACUGAUGAACUGUAUAAACUAACUUCAAAAGGAAGAAAAACUGUAACUGGCUUAGUCCUUUUUGUAUACUUUCAACUCCAGUAGCUGAGCAAAUAAGCUUUUAAUUUAUUUUUUUCUUUCGCUUAACUAUGAAAAAAAUAAUUGUGAUCAUAAAAUAGCCGUAGAUUCUUGAACUGAAAUCUAUGCGAUUGCAUUUCCACUUUUGACAUUUUGAUUAGGUGCAUGAAUCCAGCAUUGUAAAAGUUGUUUGGGCUCCACCAGAAUAUGGAGAUGUAGUUGCGUGCAUUUGUGCUGAUGGAAGGUUGUUGUUGUGGGAGGAGGUAGGUGAAGGUGAGGACACAUUUCUUCUGCAUUUGUUGAUGAAAUUAUUGUCACGAAGCUAAGCCGAACAUUAUGUUAUGUGUGCCUUUUCCCCUUCUUUUUUGCAUGGGGAUGUUUUGCUGAUGAAAGUAGAUAGUCAGAGUGAAAUCUUUGGUUUCUUUCUUUUGACUCUCUAAAGACAGGAAAAAGAAGCAAAAGUAAACUUAUUCUCUGUUUUUCCACAAAUGUUUAUGAAAUAUCGGAAAAAAAGAAAAAAUCUAAACAGGGAACUUGAUAUGAAAUUGAAGAUUAUUUUGGUUCUUUAUGGCAUUUAUUCUUCCUUUUCUAUUGUGUUUGGCAAGAGUAAUUGUGAAGAUAAAUCUUUUCCCUUAAAUUCUUAGUAAUAAUCUAUGUUUCAUAUUAUCAGUGAAACUAUAAUCUUAUUCUUAUCCUCUAUUCAGUUACUUGCUUUCAUAGUCCUUUAAUCUAUGAAUUUUUUUAAUUUUAUCUGUAAAUACUUUCUCAAAUUUUACUUCUGACAAUAAUUUCACAUUUGUUUUCUUAACAUUUGACUAGAGACUUACAAUGAGUUACUAUUCUUUAGAUUCAGAGCUGCUUCAGUGGAAGCUGUGCAAAUGCUUUGACAGAAUCUCAUCCCAAGUUCUGGAUGUUCAGUUUGGAGUCUCCCAGACAAGUCUGAAAUUGGUGAGUUUGAAUUAGAUUGGUCGUAAAUGUCUAUGAUUUGACAUUGAAAUAUGAUAGCAGUUGUUUGAAUAGCUUGGGGGUGGCAGGGUGCUAGGGAUUAGAACAAAGAGAUGUAUCUAUGUUGUUUUUGAGUUUAUGAUUACUGAUUUUGUUGUAUUUCUCUUUCAUGUCUAUAGUGCUUUAGAUGCAUUAUGAUGGAAUCACUCAAUAGUCAUAAGCAAUCUAUUGUUGUAUGCAUCUCUGCAGGAAUAGUAAAAAACUUUAUGGCUUGCCCUUGACUGAGAUGUUGAAUGUAUCUCUGCCAGAAAAAUAAAGUUGUUUUUGCUUGCCCUUAACGGAGAUGUUACUUCCCCCUUCUCUUGAUCUUUGCUGCAGCAUUGGGAUUGAUUUCUUGUUACUUGUAGAGUGAUGUGCUAAAAUAAUGUACCUUUAUUGAUUAAAAACCUUAUAUCUCAUCUAAAUUUAUUUUAGCAUAUCCGGUACUCUUUUUUUUUUGUGUUCUUAAAUUGUUAAAAUCACCUCUUAUAAUCUGUUAACUGAAUAGCAGAGAACCUACAAUGCCAAGUUGCUUAUUAAUACUUGCAUUUAUCAAUAUCACUGGUCUAAAAAAUUGAAGCUCUUUUUGGGAGUGUGAAAGCGAAGUGUUCUUCUCAUUGACUUCUCCCCUAAUUUCUUGUAAAGUUGAUUGGGUUAGUUAAUGAAUUCAUCUGGAAGGAAAGAAGGGGAACAUCUACGAGGUCAGAUGUUACCCGAUACAAUCUUCCCACAGUAAAACUCUGUCAUAAGAUGCUUGAGGUACUUGAGAGAGUUCUUCAAGCUGUUGAUCAGGAGGCACAUAAAGCAACUAUAGGUUCACACUAAUUUGUACUGUUUUUUUUGUUGUUAUUUGGCUCUAAAGUAUGCCGUCUAGAAUACCUAAAAUGAAUUGCUUUCUUGAACAAGAUCACAUUGGUACUAAGUUAAAAGUAUUCCAAGUUUCUUUUUUCUCUUUUCCUUUUUGAAGUUUCGAGGAAAGAUCCCUACUCUUUCUUUUGCAUUUGGCAAUAUGAGAUGCCAAAGUGUUAUAUAUGCUACUUAAAUGUGUUAGGUGGGUUCCCCAUGGAGGAUGUGACAGAGCAGAUUGGCCAAUACCUGUACAUUGUGGUCUUGCUUUAUUUUACUCGCAAAUCAUUUAAUUUAUGGGCCUUUAGAUCUGAUGAUAUGUUCCUUAUUUUUUUCUUCAAUUUCACGGGAUAGACAAGGAUGAGAUAAAACUGCCUGAUCCAGUGAUUCUUGGUUUUCAGCUUUUAGUCUAUAUGACUACAUAAAGUCAUUGUGAUCACAUUUUCCAUUAUUUUCUUUCACAUAGGUUGCUGCGUAUUCAGAUGGCCAAGUGAAAGUGUUUGAGCUCCUAGAUCCAUUUGAAUUGAAGAAUUGGCAGCUGCAGGUGUGUAUCUACAUUCUGCUUCUUUGACUUUCUGCCUCAUGAGCCAUGUUCUUCCUUAUUGGUCAUUUAUAUCGCUUUAUCUUUCUGGUGCAGUACUUGUUCUAUACAUACUCUGAAAAUGAUGAUAGCAUUUAAAGAUGACACAUUAUGAAUGUUACUAAGAAAUGGAGAAGCUAACUUUUAGUCCUCUUUUUGUAGGCUGAAUUUCAGAAUGUCAUUGAAUCUGUAUCUAAAUUUGGAAAUGUUUCAUGCCGAUCGGCUUCUAUUGCUUGGAAUCCCUUGAAAGGAGAAAUCCAGCAAUCAAGCUUCGUUUUGGGUUUUGAUUCCGAUACGCCACACCUGAACUCUUCCAAGGUAUGGCAAGUUCCUUUCUUACUGUUAACUUUAAGGAUUGCAUUCUAUAAUCCUUAAUUGGUUCUAUUUACAUCUUCUUUCUUUAUUAGCUAAAACUUGGCAGUGAAUUUAUUGCAUUUUGAUUCUUGUUGAUAAUGAAUAAAAGUUCAGCUAGUUAUGCAACUUAUACGUGUCUUUUUGACAUUUAUAAAGUCGGAAGAUGUAAUUCUUGAAAUCUUAAGCUGCUAUCAUGUGGUAGAUGGUCUUAAAAGCUGUAAGUAUACUUGGUCUCUGAUGGGACAUAUGUAAUGUUAUCAUAUCAUAGAUUUCCACAGGUUUGGGAAUUCGAUCAGGAUCAUCAGAGAUGGCUUCCAGUUGCAGAAUUAGCCUUACCUGCAGAUAAAGCUGAUCCAGUCUCUACUGUUGCAUGGGCACCAAAUAUUGGAAGGUUAGCUCUUGACAACAUCCUCCUUAAAACCAUAUAGCCAAACACUGCCGGUAGUGAAAAAUUUCUGUUUAGCUUGUUGUAUGCGCUUUCUAAUUUAAAGCUUCCUUUUUCAGGCCGUAUGAGUUAAUAGCAGUUGCCACUUGCAAAGAAAUUGCAUUAUGGCAUGUUGGAUCAAAUCCAGACUCUGAUGGAAGGCUCUCGGUGGAGAAGGUUGCAAUGCUCUCUACUCAUGACAGUGAGGUGCCUAGUGCAACACUAUUUAGUUUAGCUGUUCUUGUAAAUCAUUAACGUUCAUAUCCCAACUUAGUAGGGUCACUUGAACCUAUCUAUUUUUGAGUUUCUUGAUAGCGUAAAGUGACUAAUAUUAGUUGUUUUGAUUUUAACGUUCGGAUCAAUUGUCUUGAGUGAUCCUACAUUCCCCUACCUUCAAGUUUUCUCAUCUGCAAUUUCCCAAGGCGAUUGGUGACAAAACUUAACGCAUUUAAUUAUACCAUAUUUGAUAUUUAUCGUGCAGGUAUGGCAGAUGGAAUGGGACAUGAGUGGGAUGACACUUGCUACUACUGGAAGCGAUGGUGUAGUUCGCUUGUGGCAGUGCAACUUGAACGGAGUUUGGCAUGAACAAGCGACAUUAGAGCCCACUAGCUAGCCUGCUUAUGUGAUUUUCAUAUUCAAGCUUGAACAAGAUUGCAAGAACCCAAUGAAACACAAGAUCCUGUGGUUUAUCCAUGUUACCUAUUUGUCAUCAGGCUUAUCAUUUUGUAAAGCUAAGUGAACCUUGCAUUGUAAGUGGGAAUAAUGAAAAAUUCCCAAUAUGAUUAUGUUCAUCUGAUAUACUGGAACUUGUUUGAGCCCAUUGUUUUAGUAUGUAUGGAGAAAUGGGGAUACAGAGUUUUGAUUGAAUAUGAAAAAAACUCGUGUUCGUUGUAAGAUUAUUGAAAAGUAUGUUGGUUAUAAUCUGGAGAGCAUCACGUUGGCUUUGAAGUAGUUGUGUAGUACUAGCAUUUUGUAGACGUGGUUCGGUUAUUCCCAUGGAACAUACAAUUUCAUCAAAUUUAUGAACAUUCAGGCAGUCUUAUGCAAGAAUGUAGUUGAAGUUAAAAAAAAAUACUAGGCUAUUGAUACAAAAUAUUAUAGCUUGUUCCUACCCUUGGCUAGUUUUCUUUAUAUAAGCACUUCUAUACUACAAAAAUAGAAUUGAGUGAUCAAAAUCCAAGCUAUUCUUUUUUAUUGUCCUUUUUUUGACAUUAUUUAUCUGAAAAAAUCUGAGAAAUUUGGAUCAAACUCCACAUGUUCAAGUGGAAACUCCAAACCUAUAAUUGGAGAGCUUGUUGAUGAAGUGUUGGCUGAGAACAAGUCAGGGAGGUCUGAUUCUGAAUGGUGCACGUUAUAAAUUCUUUGUGAAUCAUUCAUCUGGCAGGUUGGUAAUGAGAAGUAACUUGAUUCAGGAGUUGUAGGAGAGACAAAAGACGGCGAAUAACCUCCAACCAAAUUGUCAUCAACUUGUGACAUCUGGAAAUGCAGAUUUUCGUCUACGAAACCAGAGAAUGUUGGUGAAAAUGGGAAAGAACAUGUUGCUUCUUUCUUGUCCAAAUCGUUUGUAUUCACUCUCAGAUUUGCUUGUAAGUUCGCGAGCAUUUGGUUCGAUGGUGUUGUUCUUGGAUUGUUGGCUUGUUUCUUGUGUUUAUGUUUCUCUGGUGAUUUUGGUUGUGUAGCAGCUGCAGCACAGUUAUAAGUUUGGUUACAAGUAUGUGACCCUUUGUAUGUGAUUUCAAAUAGUGCAGGAUCAUCAUCAGACCUUUGCACUUGCUUUGUUGCCCAACAGUUCUGCAUUAGUCGAUAUGUGCAUCUGUAGUAACUCCUGCAAACAUAGUGAAGUCUCGUCGUUAGGACAAAGACGAUGUUCGAUUAAAUUAUGUACUAGUAGAACCGUCAAAAUAAGCUUGAUUCACAAGACUAGCCCAACCUAACUGGUUACUUGAAAAGGGUUGGGCUAAGGUCCUUUGAGCUCAUUUAAAACUGAGGUCAAAAUGUCACACCCAAAAAAGCUCGUUGGCUCUCGAGGCCGGGCCGGGCUUGGGCCAAGGGCCCAUCUAGCUUUCCAGCCUUUGAGUCGGGCCGGGCUGACAUUUUAAAUGUUUUUUUAUAAGUGAAGGACAGAUCCGUCUUAGUCUAUCAAAUUCUAUAGCCGUGAGGACUUAGCUGGGCUAGAUUGAACCAACCCGUUUUGACAGCUCUACAAAACAAUUACUAAAAGGGUACUAGAAAUCUUGAAAAUUUCACUUAAAUUUUUCAUUUUUUUCCCUAAAAAUGUUUUAAAAGUUGGUACCCUUUUUUAGUAAAAUUCUUGAAUAUAUUCACCUUGGAUAUUUAGCACCAAGAAUGUCUUUUUGCCCAUAUUUUCUCCAACUAUAUCCAUCAUCAGUAGGCCCUUCAUAUCCAUUUUCUGCACUCACUCUCACUUGUUCACUCCAUGUAGGCAUCUGUUUUCUGCAACAACCAUAAAAAAAAUAAAAAAAAUCAAUUUAACUCAAAAAAAAUUUAACAAUCAUCAAAAUUCAGAUAUUCAGUCAACUAAUAGUUAUUAACUCGCUUUUUUCUUGAUUCCAAUUUUUUUCAACAAAAACAUGUGACUUUCUGAGAUAAAAACUAUUAGCUGACUCGAAAAAUCCUCUAACCUUUUCUUUGAAACAUAUAUGAAAUCUUGAUCAUCACUUUUAGGAUUUUCAUCAACAGAAAUUGAUGAUUCAGGUGGUGCUACAAGUAGUGGAGUUUGUGUUACUGAAGCACUAGUCCAAUUAAGAAUUGACAAUGAUUUUUCAAAAGAAGAAAGAAUCAUUUGCAAAUGAAAAUCCAAUUCUUGAAUUUUAUUUGAAGCUCUUAAUUGCUUAACAUGUUCCAAUCCUUGUGUUAAUUCAUUGAUCAAUGAAUUAUAUUCAUAAUUGAAUCCACAAUCCAUUUUCUUGAAGGAAAAAAAUUCUCAAGAUUAAAAAUGUAAUCUUGAAAAUAAGUGGCUAGUGAAAAUAAUUUAAGGUGUUUAUUGUUAUUUUACAUAAAUAAAAUGUAGUGAAAUUUAGAAGUUUCUGAAGAAGGAGAAGAGAAGUUUCUGUUUUUUUUUUUGGGAAUUUGUUAAGAGAAUGAUUUGAGGAAAAUAUGAGUUAGAAACAGCUGAAUUUAAAAGGAAAUGACAUGUGGAGAAAUAAAUUAUAAAUUAAUUUUUUUUAUUAAAAAAGUGAGUGUUGAAGUGGAAUAUAGUUUGAAAGUUGACCGUGGAAAACGAGUUUUUUUUUUUUUUUUUAGACCAGUCUUUGGUCAUAAAAUCUUUUUUCAAGUGAAAAUGUUUUAGUGAACAAGGUCCAAAUGCUGACCAAUUCAAACUUGAAAAAAAAAACUAAAUAAAUUAUAAAUCUCUUUCUACAUUAUCUUCUAUUUUUUUUUUCUUUUAUGUAUUUGCUUUCAUAAUCUCCAUGUCCACAUAAAAUUGAAUUUUAUGAGUUGUUAUGAUCUCCAACUUUUUCUAUAGGGAAAGUGGUGGGAUGAUAUUUCAUGAGAAAGACACAUUAACUUUGAGUUUGUUUUAUGUUUUACAAUCGGUGUUUGGUAAUUGCUAACAAAUGAUUGUUAAUAUUUGUGAUGGUGCUUUAUUAUAUUGUCUUCAAGAUCAGAACGAACUUGAGCAAUAAUGCAAUAUGAUUCUUCGUAGGGAAAAUUACAUUCGUAGUUAAGGAUCAUUCUAUGUCUUGAUUAUGAUUUCAUGAUGAUAUGAUUCUUCGUAAGGAAAAUCACAUUCGUUUUCAAGUUAAAAAUCAUCCUAUGUCUUGAUUAUGAUUUCGUGAUGAAAAUCUUAAUUCUUUGUAGAGAAAAUCACAUUCGUUUUCAAGUUAAGGAUCAUUCUAUGUCUUGAUUAUGAUUUCGUGCCAAGAAAUUCAACUUUGGGGUAUAGGGCAUACUUUAUUAGCACUAAUCUAUGCCUUUCACCUCACUCUAAUUCUAAUUCCUUAAUCAUGUUUGACCAAAUGAGUUGAAUUGAAUCUCUAUUAAUACUGCAUGAAAUACUAGUGAUUAGGAAAUUAAUUGAGUUUAAUAAUUAAUUAAUCAACUAAUUAAUUAUAUAUUUGGAAUUUGACUGGAAUUUAUAUUUCUCUCUCACAUCACAUCUACAGGAUGCAUUGUUGGCUUAACGCUGUUUAUCUAGAAAUUAGUAAAGUCAAAUGUAUGACUAAUUCAAACUUACAAAAGUGGGGUCCAUUUUAUGAUUUGGCCAUAUUUUUUGACGUUAAUAAUUAAGUUGUUGAUAAGAAAAAAGUUGUCUUUAUUAUAAAGUCAGAGGUUGAGUUUAAAGGAUCAAAAACCUGAUUGAUUACGGUAAAGUGAUAAGUACUAUUUCAUUUUUUUAAAAUGAAAUUUCAAGCGCAAAUGAAUUAAUCAGGUCUAAAUCGAAUAACAUAUCAUUCAAUGCAUCUUUUUUAUGUUUAUACAUAUAAUUUAUUUUUUUGAAGUUUAUUUAUGAAAUUACACUAAAUAUGUCGUGGCGUUAUCGUUGUUGUUGUUGUGGGUGUGAAACCAAGAACACAAAAGUAUUUAGAGGAUUAUGUGGUUUUGAGGACAAAGAAAAAGACAAAGAAUGAAUAUAUACAAACAUUUCAAUUGCGCGUUCUUUUUUUCUAUUGGGUAGAAUUUAAGUGAUGAAGAUGAGUGUCACAUAAUUACUCAAUAUAUCCAAAUACUAUUAUCUCAUUAUUAUUAUUGGACCUUCUAGGUCUUCCAAUGCACUUUUCUACUUUAAUGCAAUUUUUAUUUUAUUUUUGGUUUGGCCUUUAUCUGAUGUUCGAUAUUUUAUUUAGGAUUCGAUUCAUUCAGGUUUGUAUUCGUAAUAUAAGUUUUAUUCGAAGAAGUAAAACUAAUCGAGAAUGGAAGACUACUUAUUAUUUUGACUUUCGUAGGGGAUUAGUUUGAGCUAUAUAUCAAACUAGAUUUUAGGUAGAUUGAAUUGAACGAGUCAGUAAUAUAGGUCAAGCUAAUAAUAAAAGGCUAAUGUUAUGCAUGUUUAAACUUGGAUGGAUUGGACGAGUCAUGCUUUUAUGAGUUAAUUUUUUCUAUUCAAUUUUUUUUCUAAUAUUGUCUAGAUAAAGAAGGUUUGAAAAUUCAAUAAUUAUGAACCAAGAACUUCUAGAUGUUGCAAUUAAGAAAAUUCCUCGGAUUUUAAGUGUUAGUAUACUAUUGUUUUCCUCUUUCAAGUUUCAAUUAUUAAUUAUUAUUUUAAAGUUCAAGAUACAAUUGAUUUUUUUUCAUUUUAUUCUUAGUCGUAAUUGCUCUUGAAAACUAUAAAACCUUAAUCAUGAUGAUAUAAGCAUAUAAACCAAACAAAUCAAUGAAGAAAAUUAUGUUUUUAUUAAGACAUAAAAGCUUGAUAAAGGGGGGCUUUUGUUCACUAAAAGUAAUAUAAACCGUGUUAGAUAGUCAGCCAUCACAUGACUCUCAAAUUCAACUUGUGGUGGAUCUCGGGAGACAAAGUGAAAAUGUAAUAUCUUUGGUCCCAUACUUUGAAAUGCUCCUCCUUGUGAAUUGAUUGUUCCCCCAAACCUACGCAGGUGAACAACUAGAGUGUAUUAGGACACUUGAGAGAAUUAUGUCAGAGGAACUCAACAAAAUGACUCAGUAACUUUGGGAGAAAGAUUGUUCUCUUAUCUUUUGAAUAGGAAACACAUAUCAUGGUGGAGACUGUUUAUUAAAAACACAACAAUAGUAAAAUAAUAUUUAAAAAAUCUUUUAAUUUAUAAUUUCUAAAAAACAUAUUAAAGAAAAAUACAACUGAUAAUUUGAAACGAAGAAAGUAUAGCAAUAGUUUUGCAGCCCAUCUUGUCUAGUGAGUCAAUCCUUUUUUUUUUCAAUUUAUAUAAUGCAAUGUCUCCACCAAAUGGCCUCUAAGAGACUCAAGUUUGACUAUAUUGUUAUGAGUUUGGAUUUCAGUGGCUUUUUGACUGACUGUUGUCAAGUUGAUUAUUCUUACUCUCCAAUUUAGUUUGUAAAAAAAAAAAAGUAAUAAAAAAUCAUUCAAUUAUGAGAUUUGUAAACAUUGCAUACUAAUAAACCUCAAUUGGAAUUUGGGAAGACCAUUCCAAGAGAAAAAAAGAAGAAAGAAAAGUAAGAGCUAGGACUGAAUAUUUGUUAGAGAUUGCUUUAUAUACCUCAGUAUGUUAUGACUUAUAAUUAGAGUUUUUAGUUUUCGAGCUCUUGAAGUGAAAAAUUCUUUUGCCGAUUUGCCCUUCAAAUGGGUUGGUCUUUAAGUUUUGUUCUUAACAAUCGAACUUAUGUCUAACGGGGCAUAAGUUCUUUAAGGAUGCGGAACAUAACUUAUGAGAUAUUAUAAUGCGGAAAUAUAAACGCCUUUGAAGAGCAGAAAUUAAAUACCAGUACAAAAUAUGGCUAAAUGUGCAAAUAACCCAACACAUAUAAGUUCUUGGGCCAGGACUUCUAUACUGGACCAUCCAUUGCACUGGGCUUACGUGACAACUCAUGAUUUAGCCCAACAAAACAUCUGCCAACUGCGGGAAAUUAUUCUGAGCUUAAAAGUGGGUGGUCUCAAACUUUUGACCUUACAUGAUCUAUGGGGAAACCUACACGGUCAAAUAAAAGUCAAACUUGGAAGUAUUAUCUACCAAACAAACGUGAUCAAUAGUUCAAGACCAGUCAUCUCUAUUGUUGUUCUCGAUCUAGGAUAUAGAAUCUCCAAAAUGUAUAUACAAGUAGCCCUUCGUUGCCCUCGAUUUAUUUAUUAUUAUAUGUGGAAAAGAGAAAAGAAUAUAGGAAUUAGACAACAAAUAAUGGAAACGCAUAUAGAAUAAAGUCAGAAAUAUUUCAAAUUAUGCAAGUAGCACAUAUUUCCUACUUAUAUAAUAUUCAAAUAUACUCUAGCUACUAGAGAAAGAAAGAAAAAAAAUACUACCAAGCUUUCUCGUUGGUUAUUGAGUGACUGUCUCCAUUAUGAUGUUGCUAGUAAACAACACUAUAUUUACACCCAACAAAUUUGUGAUUGAAGAUGGUAAAUCUAACAUUUCGAAGUUUCACAUAGUUAGCAACAAAAAUAAUUGACCAAGUCCGAUUCCGAAAGAAUUAACAAAAGCCAUAAAUUAUGAUUCACACAACAUAUUCCAACAUGUUUGCGAUUGAGACGUAGUUGAAUUAUCAAAUCCUAGGCCACAUGUUCACUUGUCUAGAGUUUUCUUCCAGUUACUAUAGUUCCAAAUAUGUAGAAUUGUCUAAGUUCAGAAAAUAGAACAAUAAACAGAUAACUCAAUUAUCACAAGGACAUGAAACAUAACUUGUGAGAUAUUAUGAUGCGAAUAUAUAAACUUAGCUCCACGAGAAAGUAUUUGUCUCGAGGAGCAAAAAUCAAAUACCAAACACAAAAUAGAAGCAAAAGUGCAAAUUGCCCAAGGUAAUUUUUAUCUUGGGCCAGGACUUUCAUACUGGACCAUCCAUUGCAAUGGGCUUAUGUGACAACUCUUGCUUUAGCCCAACAUGUCCAAAUUAGACCCAAUGACUUUGAAAAUUGGCGGUAUUGAACUUUUGACCUCACUUGCCUCAUGUAAGAACCUUCGCGGUCAAAUUAAAAGUCAAAACUUGAAGUAUUAUCUAUGGGACUACCGCGAUCAGAAGUUCAAGACCAUCCAUCUCCAAGACACUCUUGUUGUUAUCAAUCUAGAGUAUAUAAUCACCAAAAUGUAUAUGCAAGUAGCCCUUCAUUGCCCUCUGUUUAUUUAUUAUAUGUGGAAAAGAGAAAAGAAUAUAGGAAUUAGACAACAAAUAAUGGAAACGCAUAUAGAAUAAAGUCGAAUUGAGAAGUAUUUCAAAUUUUGCAAGUAGCACAUAUUUCAUACCUAUAUAAUAUUCAAAUAUACUCUCGCUAUUAGAGAGAAAAAAAUACUACCAAGCUUUCUCAUUUUGUUAUUGAGUGACUGUCUCUGUUAUGUUGUUGCUAGUAAACAACACUAUUUACACCCAACAAGUUUGUGCAUUUACAAUUCGUACGUACAAUACAUAGUAAAUCUAACAUUUCUUAAUUUCACAUAGUUAGCAACAAAAAUAAUUGACCAAGUCUGAUUCCAAAAGAAUUAACAAAAGCCAUAAAUUAAGAUUCACGUAACAGACUCCAACAUGUUUGGGAUUGAGACGUAGUUGAAUUAUCAAAUACUAGGCCACAUGUUCAUUUGUCUAGAGUUUUCUUCCAACUACUAUAGUUCCAAAUAUGUAGAAUUGUCCAAGUUCAGAAAAUAGAACAAUAAACAGAUAACUCAAUUAUCACAAGGAAUAGAAUAAAGGCUCACUCAAAAAGCUUUACCUGACAAAAAAAAUAUUCAAAAAUGAUAAGAGCUAGUGAUGUGAGGUGUUAAAAGAGAAGAGUUUUCACUACCAAAACUAGUAUAAAUAGAUGUCAUAUGAAUGGCUAUAUCAAGUAAGAGAGCCAUAAGAAACUAGAACUCAAAAAUACCAAGAGUCGUUUUCUGUUCAGUUUCUGACGAAUAUCAAUGGCGUCACUUCAGUGCCAAAAGCCAGUUGCACAACAAACUGUCUGCCAAAAAACCACCAACACUGCCACUUGCCACAAGGCGAAUGAGCACCACUCUUUGGCUGACAAAAUGAAAGAGAUGACAACCAAGAUGUUGCACCACGACAACCAUGGACAGCAAUCUGCCUGCCAUGGCGCCAAAACUCAACAUUCAGCAGGCCAUGGAUCCACUGCUAUCCACGGAAAUCAUGGUAGCCACGGCCAGCAGACUGCAUGCCAUGGCGCAAAAACUCAACAUUCAGCAGGCCAUGGCUCCACUGCUAUGCAUGGAAAUCAUGCUAAGGGACAGAACACUGCAUGCCAUGAUGCUAAAACUCAACAUUCAGCAGGCCAUGGCUCCACUGUUGGGCAUGGAAAUCAUGCUAAGGGCCAGAACACUGCAUGCCAUGGCACCAAAACUCAACAUUCAGCAAGCCAUGGAUCCACUGCUACUAAUGGAAAUCAUGCUAAGGGCCAGAUCACUGCAUGCCAUGGCGCCAAAACUCAACAUUCAACAGGCCAUGGCUCCACUGCUAUGCACGGAAGUCAUGGUAGCCACAACCAGCAGACUGUGUGCCAUGGCUCGAAGAAGGAAGGGGGCAUCAUGCAUAAGAUAGGUAGUCAGCUGAAGACC
rnacentral:lncRNA from 1 species